rnacentral:lncRNA from 1 species
AGUGAAAGAGUGUUGUGUGCUUUUGCUGAGUUUAGGAUGGUGUCAAUUGUGCCUCAGGAGAAGAGUUUAGACAUUCUGUCCUGAUGAAUGUAAUCAAGUCUUUAUUUCAUGGUUUCUCUUAACGCAAAUACGUACAGGUUCAUAUUCGUCGAUGAGGGUGAGAGGAAAACUAUCGCCAACAGAAAGAAUCCAGAUAGGAAGAGAGAAAAAGAAAGACCAGAGAUGGAUUUUGUGUCCUUUUUAAAACAGCCUCAAUCACCUGAUUCCUCCCUGCCACUUCUCUGCAAAUGAUAGAGUUCACACAUCUAUAAUUCUCUCAUAGGUUCAUGUGGGCUGCUCCUCAUAACCCUGCUCAAACACUACUGAGGCAUCAGGAUCUUCAAGAUUCAUUUUAUUCUAGCCAUCAACAUUCCAGCCAGCAGGAAGAGAGAAAAGAACUCUCGUGCAAAAAUUUAUGGGCAAACAUCUCUUCUACUCACUUCCGUUUUCAGAAGCAAAACCAUGGUCCAUCCUAGACACAGGAAAGUACAGUCCCCAGAUAAUCUAUUCUUCCUCUAGUGCUGAGGGUGGUGUCUUUUCUCAUUUGGACUGCUACAACAAAAUAUAUUAGACUGGGUAAUUUAUAAAUAACAGAAAUUUAUUGUUCAUACUUCUGGAGGCUGGGAAGUCCAAGAUCAAGGCAACGACACUUUCAAUGUCUGGUGAGAUCUUGCUCUCUACUUCCAAGAUGGUGCUUUCUUCCUGUGACCUCAUGUGUUGGAAAGGCAAGGCAGCUCCCUUCAAAUUCAUUUAUAAGGACACAAAUCUCAUCCCCAAAGACCCCACCUCUUAAUAUUAUUAUUACAUUGGGUAUUAAGUUCAAAUGAAUCAACUCUGGGGGAAACACCAACAUUCAGAUCAUAGUAGAUAGAAUAAAUUUCAGAUGAAAAUUAGCUCCAUCCACAAAUAACUAUUAUUAUAUUUUAUUUGAUAUCCCUACAGAAUCUUAGUAUGAAUACCCAUAUAUACAUGAUUUAAAAACAAAAUAUCUGCUGUUUUGUAACGUGCUUUUUUUCAUUAAGCAAGAAUAUUGGCAAUACUGUCCCAUGUCAUUAAAUAUUCUGGUAUAACAUCACUGAAAUGUGGCAUAAAUAUUCCAUUAUCUGGAUGUCACAUAUUUUAUUCAACCAAACACCUGUAAUUUUCCCCAGUAUUUCACUAAUAUAAAAGUGAGGUGGAUGACUUUAUAUAAAAAUCUUUCUAUACAUCUCAGACAAAUUCUUAGAAGUCAAUAGGUAAGAAAUUGCUAAUAUAUAUUGCAAAUAUGCCCUAGAAAGAUAGUAUCAACUCAUUGUCCUAUCAGCAACAUUUCCCAGUAAAAAUAUCCGGGACUUAAAAAUACAAGAAUCACCUACCCUUGACUUCUUUAGCACAAUUAUCUCCAUUAUUAUAGAAAUGCUUCAGACUAGGCCUCUGCCUAUGGACAUUAGUCAUUCCAAAAUAUUUACUUCCUUCUCUGACACUUCCGUGGAAAAAACAUGCUUCACUACCUCCUUGAGUUUGGGCUUGGCUAUGUGGUCAGGGCUUGCCUGGUUGUGCAGCCUCUCGUUUCUCUCACGUUGCCAUGAGUUAAUUUUCCCCUGGAAAGCAUUUAAUUGAAGAAGGAUGAAGCCUCAGGCAGACUUAGGUGCAAUCAGCAGCUUACAGCUGCCCAGCCAAGCCCAGCCUAAAUCAGCCAGAUGUGAAUGAAAUCAACACCUCAAUGUUGUAUGACACUGAAAUUUUGUGGUUGUAUAUUUUGCAACAAUGGCUGUCUGAUACUCUGGUAACACCCAUGAGAAAGGAACUGACCAGCAUCUGGGGCAGGCUGCUCUGUCCCUGGCUCUUCACACCUUUCCUUUGAUCUGUCUGUGUAAGUGAUUGCUCCUUAAUUUCCAGGUGUCAGCAGGUGAUUUGUGCUAAAGUUAUUAUCCUAGUUUUGCCAUUUCAGUCUUACAUGUUUUUACAUUUUUACUUUCUCUUUGUUCCAAACUUCAGUCCCAAUCCAGUGCAAGAGGCUAAUAGAGUGUGGAACAGCAUUUGGCUUCUAAAAUGUCAAAGUAUAAUGAGAAAAGGAAAACAAUUAUUAACAGAACUGGUCACAGACACCCAUGGGUUGCAUCCUUUUAUCCCACACAUUGUAAAGGCAAUGCAGUGAGGUUAUCAGCAGAGCCUAAACAUCAGAUGCAUGACUUCAGUGGAGAAGCUGUGAUACAGUUUCUUAAACGCUUAAUAAAAAGGACAAGUUUAGUAAAAAACAAAACAGAACAAAACAACAAGAACCAUAUGCAGCUUAAUUAACUCUUGUGGAUAAAUCCCAAACAUUUUAUUCUAGGGACUGAUCAAGAUCCUUGUUUUAGGGACAAAUUUUUGUAUUUUCAACAUUUUAUUAACUCAUGGAACUUCUGCAAAACCAUUCCACAGAUAAUGAUCUCAAGACUAUACUGCUUAACUGAGUCAAUCAACAUUUAUCAGCCAUGUGCAGGAAUAUCUGUUAAAGACCAGGAAUCCAAAGACCCAUAUGCAUGUUUCCUGUGCUCAGCAAGUUUACAACCUAGCAGAAGAAAAGAGACACGACAUAUAAAUCGGUCCACUUUAGAAGUGCUGUGACUGACCUAUGGACAAGGUGCUAAGGGAAGAGGAACGACGUAAAGCCAGGCUUCAACCCAGUACCCUGUCUCCCAUUCUAUCAAACCACACUGCAUUUUACAUAUUAGACCUUUUUAGUUUCAUUUUCUGCUUUGCCUGGCUUCUUGCCACCAAGUCAUAUACUGUCAUCCCCGUUGUUUUUCUACGUAACCCACCUCCUUUUUUUUUUCAAGACGGCAUUUCACUCUUGUUGCCCAGGCUGGAGAGCAAUGGUGCGA